UAAUUAUAAUUUUAUUUUACGAAUUGAAUGCAGUGUAAUCAACUUGGGACAAAAUGUUCAAUAAUUCUGUUGCAUUUGCUCAUUUUAAACAAGUAAAUUGCAAAAGUAAUGUUCUGUAAUAAAGAUUGCAUUUGAGAGUAGAAAUAUUUAGGUCUACAGUUAACUUUGUAAUCUGACAAAAAAAAAAAAACUGUGUCGAAAGAAAGAUGAGUAUCAGUUGCAAUUAUACGUUUUUUCAAAGUGCAGGCAAGAUGUCAUUUUAUGUCUCUGUCAUGUGAACACAGAGAGAAUAGCACCAUCUUUUCUUCCUUUUGUCUGCAAGAGAUAAAAAUAAGAUAUUGCCACAGGGAUUCGAAGCAGCUUUCGCCUCCUGAUGCAGUCAAGUGACCAACCACUCUGUGUUUAAUUAGUCUAUACUUGGAUCUCUGAGACAUUAAACCACUCUGUGACUGGAGGCCAGUGCAGCGUUUUCAAAGCUAACUGAAAUAAUAAAUACACAUAACAUGCCAGAGUGCAUUCUGGGAACAAAACCCAGGUACUCCACCUCAAAGCUUUGAUGGGUAUAUUUAAUUAAAGACAGAUCCUCUUUAUUAUGUCUCUAAAUAACUGACCCUUGAUUCACGUCUGACUCCAAAUGAACGUCUGGAGCCAAAGUGGAUCGUGUGAGUGGAGCUCGGAUCACAGAUGUAGCUGCAUGUUCUGAGAGGCCUGAAAUAAAAAACAUGCUGCCAUUAUCAUUUGGCUCUGCAGUGGACAGAUUGCUGUUCUGUUGUGGCAUGUGCUUCCUCCGUUUGCUGAUGUAUGGCUGUGAUGUUGCAAGAAUGGAAAUGUGAAGUCAUCCGGAAUUUUGGGUAGACCAUCUGAGAAUAUCCAUGAAUACUUGCAGUAAAGUGAAGGAGGGUUUAUUGGCUCACAUAGUGGAGGAUGUGCAGUGGAUCCAAACGGCUUGAGAUCAAUGAUCUGUAUGACUUUAUUUCUUCUGAGGAGUGCAAAAGAUUUGUAUGGAUGAAUAGUUGUCAUCACCAAAAAUGCUGUUCUCCUCAGGGACCCAUUCCAACCUUUUCUCACAGAGAUCUCGUCGUUGCGGCACUGCUUCAAACACGUCCCGUGGUCAUGAGAUCGCAGGCUGAUUGUGUCGUUUGGACGUGUGAGCAGAUGCACGUGCGUCAGGACCCCGUGCUGUCCUACAGGAUGCCCGAGUGACGGCGUGGGAAUGCUGGUCGUUAGAUCCGCUAUCAUCCUCUCUGCUUUUGCCAACUCCACAAGAGGGCAGACUGUUGAAGAUGUUUACAUGUGCCAGCUUUCACAGGUAUGAGUGUGUGUAAAGCGCUUUCACCCUUAUAAUGUGCCCCACACCGAGCAUUUGCUGAGGUUGGCAGUUUGUCAGUGCCAUUGCUUAAGGCUCUGUAGCGCCGCACGCAGAACCAUUAAAAAUAACGAGCUUUCUCUCACCAUGACAACCACAUAACUCCUCAUCAUAGCAGAGCGCACAAUAGUUUUUACAAGAGCUUUUAAUUUCAAACCCAUCCAGUGAAAAUUCCCAUUGGAAAGCACCUUGGCAUUUUCAUUGGCAAAACGUUAUGUUACAAUUGUAGAUGAUACAUGAAAAGAGCGUCAAGAGACUAUGGUUAUGAAAUGAAGGAGAAAAAACAGCACGGGAUGGAAUCAUGUGAGCUCAAUUGAUUGUGUGUUUAUUUCAGUUGGCCGAGUCCCUCUCUGAAAUGUUAAAACACUGGAAACAUUGCCUCCAACAAUUGCUCUCGAUCUCUGUUGCCUGUCAGUUGUUGGUAAUUUAGCUAGUGGUUUCCACAGAUCAAUAUGCUUGCCCUGCGGAGCUACACACAACAGAUUUGUGUUCCAUGUUCCUGCCAUCAUAGAGAAAAUUUAGGACACUGGGAUGUAGGAGUG
ensembl:lncRNA